UACGGGGGGGGGCAAGCGUUGUUCGGAAUUACUGGGCGUAAAGGGCUCGUAGGUGGCCAACUAAGUCAGACGUGAAAUCCCUCAGCUUAACUGGGGAACUGCGUCUGAUACUGGACGGCUUGAGUAUGGGAGAGGAACGUAGAAUUCCAGGUGUAGCGGUGAAAUGCGUAGAUAUCUGGAGGAAUACCGGUGGCGAAGGCGGCGUUCUGGACCAUUACUGACACUGAAUCGCGAAAGCUAGGGGAGCAAACGGG
rnacentral:rRNA from 1 species